GGGUAGGGCUGGGCAUAGGGUUAUCCGAUCCGCCCAAACCGCCCUACCCGAACCAAACCGCACGCGCGUGGGCGGUUUCGCAAACGCAUUAGGGUAGGGUGCGGGUUAGAUUUUAUAUAAAUUUCGGGUUGCGGGCGGGUUGCAGGUUUGAACCGCACCCACCCAAACCGCCCGCAUUAAAUUAAUUAAUUUUUUUUUUCCCCUCUUUCAAAUCUAGCCGUCCAUCACCAUCUCACUCACCUCAUUACAAAUAAAACAAAAAACCCUAAAUUCGUCUCCCUCACUCUCUCAGUCAGCCUCAUCUCAACUCAUUUAUGUCUCUCUCUCUCACUCUCUCGUUUCGUUAUUCUGCACCGAUCACUCUCUCUCACUCUCUCGUUGUUCAUCUCAUCGCACCGAUCAUCGCACCGCCGAUCUACUCACAGAUCCACAGUUUGGUUUUGCAUCUCUGCACUAAUCGACUCACAG